AUUGAACGCUGGCGGCAGGCCUAACACAUGCCAGUCGAGCGGAUGAAGGGAGCUUGCUCCUGGAUUCAGCGGCGGACGGGUGAGUAAUGCCUAGGAAUCUGCCUGGUAGUGGGGGAUAACGUCCGUAAACGGGCGCUAAUACCGCAUACGUCCUGAGGGAGAAAGUGGGGGAUCUUCGGACCUCACGCUAUCAGAUGAGCCUAGGUCGGAUUAGCUAGUUGGUGGGGUAAAGGCCUACCAAGGCGACGAUCCGUAACUGGUCUGAGAGGAUGAUCAGUCACACUGGAACUGAGACACGGUCCAGACUCCUACGGGAGGCAGCAGUGGGGAAUAUUGGGCAAUGGGCGAAAGCCUGAUCCAGCCAUGCCGCGUGUGUGAAGAAGGUCUUCGGAUUGUAAAGCACUUUAAGUUGGGAGGAAGGGCAGUAAGUUAAUACCUUGCUGUUUUGACGUUACCAACAGAAUAAGCACCGGCUAACUUCGUG
rnacentral:rRNA from 1 species